rnacentral:rRNA from 1 species
AGAGUGCGUAACAGCUCACUGGUCGAGUGGACAUGCGCCGACAAUACACGGGGCUAAGCUGGACACCGAAGCGGCGGGAUUUUGAUUUACAGAAUCGGUAGGGGAGCUUCCCAUGGGCGGAGAAGCCGGAGGGCGACCGACGGUGGAGCGCAUGGGAGUGAGAAUGCUGGCAUGAGUAGCGAGAGACGAGAGAGUAACUCGUCCGCCGUGAACCCGAGGUUUCCUGGGCAAGGCUAAUCCUCCCAGGGUCAGUCGGGGGCUAAGGCGAGGCCGGGAGGCGUAGCCGACGCGCAGCAGGCAGACAUUCCUGCACCGCGCACGCGGCGCUACGACCGACGGGGCGACGGAUGGGGGUGGCUCGGCGGGGUUCUGGACGUCCCCGUGAUGGAGCGCGGCCCGCGGACCAGGGAAAUCCGGUCCGCACGAGGGCGAGGCUCCGGACGAAGCACUUAAGCGAAGCGAGUGAGCCCGAGGUCCCUAGAAAAACCCCUAGGCAGGCGCGUGCGCGCCCGUACCGCAAACCGACACAGGUGGGUGGGUAGAACAUACCGAGGCGAUCGGGUCAACCAUGGUCAAGGAACUCGGCACAAUGGCCCCGUAACUUCGGGAGAAGGGGUGCCCGCGCGUACGUGAACCGGCUUGCCCGGGGAGCGGAGGCGGGCCGCAGUGGAGAGGCCCAAGCGACUGUUUACCAAAAACACAGGACUCUGCCAAGCCGCGAGGCGAAGUAUAGGGUCUGACGCCUGCCCGGUGCCGGAAGGUCACGCGGAGGAGUUAGCCGUCUCGGCGAAGCCCCGAAGCCAAGCCCCGGUAAACGGCGGCCGUAACUAUAACGGUCCUAAGGUAGCGAAAUUCCUUGUCGGGUAAGUUCCGACCUGCACGAAAGGCGCAACGACUUGGGCGCUGUCUCGACCAUGGACCCGGUGAAAUUGCACUGGUCGUGAAGAUGCGACUUACCCGCGGAAGGACGGAAAGACCCCGUGAACCUUCACUGCAGCUUGGCAUUGGCCGCUGGUCCCGCGUGUAGAGGAUAGGCAGGAGGCACAGAUCCGGAGGCGCCAGCCCCCGGGGAGCCGCCCUUGGAAUACUGCCCUCGCGCGACCGGCGUCCUAACCCGAGGCCGUCAACCGGCUCGGGGACCGUGCCAGGCGGGCAGUUUGACUGGGGCGGUCGCCUCCCAAAGAGUAACGGAGGCGCGCGCAAGGUCCGCUCAGGACGGUCGGCAACCGUCCGAAGAGCGCAAGAGCACAAGCGGGCCUGACUGCGAGGCAGACAAGCCGAGCAGGGACGAAAGUCGGCUCUAGUGAUCCGGCGGCCCCGAGUGGAAGGGCCGUCGCUCAACGGAUAAAAGGUACUCCGGGGAUAACAGGCUGAUCUUGCCCAAGAGUCCACAUCGACGGCAAGGUUUGGCACCUCGAUGUCGGCUCAUCGCAUCCUGGGGCUGGAGCAGGUCCCAAGGGUACGGCUGUUCGCCGUUUAAAGCGGUACGCG